GGGGGCGCUUUGGAUUCGACGCCGGUUACAAAACCCGUGGUGCAUGCCGAGAGGGCGAUCAAUCUCGUUAAUCCAAAAUCGCAAACUUUAGUUGCCAACGACGACAACUACGCACUCGCUGCUUAAUACCCAGUAGGGUGCCGUCUGACUGAAGCC
rnacentral:tmRNA from 1 species